UUUUUAGAAAGGCAAAUAAUAAAAAUAAAAUGCCAGAUGUUACUAAGGCAGAUGUUACUGAAAACUGUGUGCAUUUUUCAGUUGUAGACAAUAUAUGAAAUAAGAACUACAUGUUACAUCACAAUGAGGAAACAUACUACAAGGAUUUUUACCCACUAACCUGCACUUGUCAUCUAAAAAUUGUGACAUGUAAAAGAGAAAUACUAUCAAUUCUCAGAAAUAUUGAAGGCUCACCUGAUCAAAGUAUUCACUUUCUUAGCCUGAAUAUCAUACAUCUUCUUGACAGCAUGCUUAAUCUUCUUCUUGUCAGCACGGAGAUCCACAAUGAAAACCAAAGUGUUG